rnacentral:rRNA from 1 species
GAAUCUUGCGCAAUGGGCGAAAGCCUGACGCAGCGACGCCGCGUGAGUGAUGAAGGCCUUCGGGUUGUAAAGCUCCGUGGGGCGAGACGAAUAAGUGCAGCCUAAUACGUUGCAUGAUGACGGUAUCGCCUUAGCAAGCACCGGCUAACUCUGUGCCAGCAGCCGCGGUAAGACAGAGGGUGCAAACGUUGUUCGGAAUUACUGGGCGUAAAGCGGGUGUAGGCGGUCUGUAAAGUCGGGUGUGAAAGCCCCGGGCUCAACCCGGGAAGUGCACUCGAAACUCACAGGCUAGAGUAUCGGAGAGGUUGGUGGAAUUCUCGGUGUAGAGGUGAAAUUCGUAGAUAUCGAGAGGAACACCGGUGGCGAAGGCGGCCAACUGGACGAAUACUGACGCUGAGACUCGAAAGCGUGGGGAGCAAACAG